rnacentral:rRNA from 1 species
UACAGAGGGUGCAAGCGUUAAUCGGAAUUACUGGGCGAAAGCGCGUGUAGGCGGACUGGUAAGUCGGACGUGAAAUCCCUGAGCUCAACUCAGGAACUGCAUCCGAAACUAUUAGUCUGGAGUGGUGGAGAGGGAAGCAGAAUUCCUGGUGUAGAGGUGAAAUUCGUAGAUAUCAGGAGGAACACCGGUGGCGAAGGCGGCUUCCUGGACACUAACUGACUGAGACGCGAAAGCGUGGGGGAGCAAAACAGG